GGGGAUGGUGGGUGGCCUCCUGCCUUUCUGGCAGGAACGCUAGUGAGACGCGCGUUUACCUGAGGCGGGUCCCUCAGCGCAGCCGCCGCCAUCGGGGUCUGAGAGCGGGAGCGGCGGGAGAGGAGGGGGACGCGGGCGCGGGGGUCCGUAUCCCGGGCGUGGCGCGGGGU